GGGUCAAUAGCUCAGUCGGUUAGAGCACCUGCCUCUUAAGCAGGGUGUCGUGGGUUCGAGUCCCACUUGACCCACCA
rnacentral:tRNA from 1 species